AUUGCCUCACUGACCUCAAGUUCUUUCUCAAGCUCAAUGGCCCUCUCCCGAUGGACCCCGGCCACCGCCCUCUUGAUCGCAACCUGACUCUCGAGGGCCCCGAUCUUCUCCCAUGUAGAUUUGAGAUUGGGUCUAGCCUGGGUAGACUCUACCUCAGCUGCUUUCGCCUUUUCUACAGUAGCCCUUGAGGCUUCCUAGGCCAACCUCUUCACCUCCUCAGCAGCCUU
rnacentral:lncRNA from 1 species